UGGGGAAUAUUGGACAAUGGGCGAAAGCCUGAUCCAGCCAUGCCGCGUGUGUGAAGAAGGUCUUCGGAUUGUAAAGCACUUUAAGUUGGGAGGAAGGGCAUUAACCUAAUACGUUAGUGUUUUGACGUUACCGACAGAAUAAGCACCGGCUAACUCUGUGCCAGCAGCCGCGGUAAUACAGAGGGUGCAAGCGUUAAUCGGAAUUACUGGGCGUAAAGCGCGCGUAGGUGGUUUGUUAAGUUGGAUGUGAAAUCCCCGGGCUCAACCUGGGAACUGCAUUCAAAACUGACUGACUAGAGUAUGGUAGAGGGUGGUGGAAUUUCCUGUGUAGCGGUGAAAUGCGUAGAUAUAGGAAGGAACACCAGUGGCGAAGGCGACCACCUGGACUAAUACUGACACUGAGGUGCGAAAGCGUGGUGAGCAAACA
rnacentral:rRNA from 1 species